UACAGAGGGGGCGAGCGUUGUUCGGAAUCACUGGGUGUAAAGGGUGCGUAGGCGGUCAGUUAAGUCUGAUGUGAAAGCCCUCGGCUCAACCUGUGAAUGCCGCUGGAAACUGUCUGGCUAGAGUCCGGAAGGGGCGAGUGGAAUUCCUGGUGUAGCGGUGAAAUGCGCAGAUAUCAGGAGGAACACCAAUGGCGAAGGCAGCUCGCUGGAACGGUACUGACGCUGGAGGCGCGAAAGCGUGGGGAGCGAACAGG
rnacentral:rRNA from 1 species